rnacentral:tRNA from 1 species
UGGGGUGUGGCUCAGUGGCAGAGCACUUUCCUGGCACGUCUGAAGCCCUGGGUUUGAUCCCAGCACUGCAA